AUUGGCCGAAGACAUGGAAUGGAGGGUCUUCGAAUGGUGUUAUAUCCAUUACCCACAUGCCUGAGCAUCUGUCCCCGGGUCACUCGGACCUAAAGAAGGCAUUGAUUGUCUUCCUUCUGCUUGUUUUCUUCUCCCAUGAGGCAUCAUAGCAGAACAACAAAGAUAAGAAGACAAAGAGCUAUGGAAAGAGAAAAGGUAGCAGCCAGAAGGAGAAAGAACAUGCCCUUACUUGCACUCGCCAGAAGCGUAACUCCCUCCUUGUGUGCAUGGCCUUCGAAGAUUUCGGGCCUUGCC
rnacentral:lncRNA from 1 species